rnacentral:rRNA from 1 species
UGUGAACUCGAAGAGUAGGGCGGGACACGUGGUAUCCUGUCUGAAUAUGGGGGGACCAUCCUCCAAGGCUAAAUACUCCUGACUGACCGAUAGUGAACCAGUACCGUGAGGGAAAGGCGAAAAGAACCCCGGCGAGGGGAGUGAAAAAGAACCUGAAACCGUGUACGUACAAGCAGUGGGAGCACCUUCGGGUGUGACUGCGUACCUUUUGUAUAAUGGGUCAGCGACUUAUAUUCUGUAGCAAGGUUAACCGUAUAGGGGAGCCGCAGGGAAACCGAGUCUUAACUGGGCGUUAAGUUGCAGGGUAUAGACCCGAAACCCGGUGAUCUAGCCAUGGGCAGGUUGAAGGUUGGGUAACACUAACUGGAGGACCGAACCGACUAAUGUUGAAAAAUUAGCGGAUGACUUGUGGCUGGGGGUGAAAGGCCAAUCAAACCGGGAGAUAGCUGGUUCUCCCCGAAAGCUAUUUAGGUAGCGCCUCGUGAACUCAUCUUCGGGGGUAGAGCACUGUUUCGGCUAGGGGGUCAUCCCGACUUACCAACCCGAUGCAAACUACGAAUACCGAAGAAUGUUAUCACGGGAGACACACGGCGGGUGCUAACGUCCGUCGUGAAGAGGGAAACAACCCAGACCGCCAGCUAAGGUCCCAAAGUCAUGGUUAAGUGGGAAACGAUGUGGGAAGGCACAGACAGCCAGGAUGUUGGCUUAGAAGCAGCCAUCAUUUAAAGAAAGCGUAAUAGCUCACUGGUCGAGUCGGCCUGCGCGGAAGAUGUAACGGGGCUAAACCAUGCACCGAAGCUGCGGCAGCGACACUAUGUGUUGUUGGGUAGGGGAGCGUUCUGUAAGCCUGCGAAGGUGUGCUGUGAGGCAUGCUGGAGGUAUCAGAAGUGCGAAUGCUGACAUAAGUAACGAUAAAGCGGGUGAAAAGCCCGCUCGCCGGAAGACCAAGGGUUCCUGUCCAACGUUAAUCGGGGCAGGGUGAGUCGACCCCUAAGGCGAGGCCGAAAGGCGUAGUCGAUGGGAAACAGGUUAAUAUUCCUGUACUUGGUGUUACUGCGAAGGGGGGACGGAGAAGGCUAUGUUAGCCGGGCGACGGUUGUCCCGGUUUAAGCAUGUAGGCUGGUUAUCCAGGCAAAUCCGGAUAAUCAAGGCUGAGGUGUGAUGACGAGGCACUACGGUGCUGAAGUAACAAAUGCCCUGCUUCCAGGAAAAGCCUCUAAGCAUCAGGUAACAUCAAAUCGUACCCCAAACCGACACAGGUGGUCAGGUAGAGAAUACCAAGGCGCUUGAGAGAACUCGGGUGAAGGAACUAGGCAAAAUGGUGCCGUAACUUCGGGAGAAGGCACGCUGGUGUGUAGGUGAAGUCCCUGCGGAUGGAGCUGAGACCAGUCGAAGAUACCAGCUGGCUGCAACUGUUUAUUAAAAACACAGCACUGUGCAAACACGAAAGUGGACGUAUACGGUGUGACGCCUGCCCGGUGCCGGAAGGUUAAUUGAUGGGGUUAUCCGUAAGGAGAAGCUCUUGAUCGAAGCCCCGGUAAACGGCGGCCGUAACUAUAACGGUCCUAAGGUAGCGAAAUUCCUUGUCGGGUAAGUUCCGACCUGCACGAAUGGCGUAAUGAUGGCCAGGCUGUCUCCACCCGAGACUCAGUGAAAUUGAACUCGCUGUGAAGAUGCAGUGUACCCGCGGCAAGACGGAAAGACCCCGUGAACCUUUACUAUAGCUUGACACUGAACAUUGAGCCUUGAUGUGUAGGAUAGGUGGGAGGCUUUGAAGCGUGGACGCCAGUCUGCGUGGAGCCAACCUUGAAAUACCACCCUUUAAUGUUUGAUGUUCUAACGUUGGCCCCUGACCGGGGUUGCGGACAGUGUCUGGUGGGUAGUUUGACUGGGGCGGUCUCCUCCCAAAGCGUAACGGAGGAGCACGAAGGUUAGCUAAUCCUGGUCGGACAUCAGGAGGUUAGUGCAAUGGCAUAAGCUAGCUUGACUGCGAGCGUGACGGCGCGAGCAGGUGCGAAAGCAGGUCAUAGUGAUCCGGUGGUUCUGAAUGGAAGGGCCAUCGCUCAACGGAUAAAAGGUACUCCGGGGAUAACAGGCUGAUACCGCCCAAGAGUUCAUAUCGACGGCGGUGUUUGGCACCUCGAUGUCGGCUCAUCACAUCCUGGGGCUGAAGUAGGUCCCAAGGGUAUGGCUGUUCGCCAUUUAAAGUGGUACGCGAGCUGGGUUUAGAACGUCGUGAGACAGUUCGGUCCCUAUCUGCCGUGGGCGCUGGAGAAUUGAGGGGGGCUGCUCCUAGUACGAGAGGACCGGAGUGGACGCAUCACUGGUGUUCGGGUUGUCAUGCCAAUGGCACUGCCCGGUAGCUAAAUGCGGAAGAGAUAAGUGCUGAAAGCAUCUAAGCACGAAACUUGCCCCGAGAUGAGUUCUCCCUGAGACUUUAAGUCUCCUGAAGGAACGUUAAAGACGAUGACGUUGAUAGGCCGGGUGUGUAAGCGCAGCGAUGCGUUGAGCUAACCGGUACUAAUGAACCGUGAGGCUUAACCUU